rnacentral:rRNA from 1 species
CGCCUCUUGAAUUUAUAUAAGAGGUCCAGCCUGCCCAGUGACCCUGUUCAACGGCCGCGGUAUCCUAACCGUGCGAAGGUAGCGUAAUCACUUGUUCUUUAAAUGAGGACUAGUAUGAACGGCAUCACGAAGGUUAUACUGUCUCCUUUUUCYAAUCAGUGAAYCUAAUCUCCCCGUGAAGAAGCGGGRAUAWAACUAUAAGACGAGAAGACCCUAUGGAGCUUAARACAAYACAGCACUUGCUAAAAAAUYUAASMAUUCCMGAAUUUUUCAYUUUMUARGCAACAUGACUGURAGUUUUUGGUUGGGGUGACCACGGAGUAYAAYAYAACCUCCAYGUUGAAAGAAUUUUWUUCUAAGCCRAAAAUUACAYUUUUAAGCAUCAAUAARUUGACAUCUAUUGACCCAAUAUAUUUGAACAACGAACCAAGUUACCCUAGGGAUAACAGCGCAAUCCACUUCAAGAGCUCCUAUCGACAAGUGGGUUUACGACCUCGAUGUUGGAUCAGGGUUUCCCAGUGGUGCAGCCGCUACUAAAGGUUCGUUUGUUCAACGAUUAAAACCCU